rnacentral:misc_RNA from 1 species
GUUCUUAGCGGAUGUCUACGUCCUAUAAGGAGCCUACCUGCCAAAUUUCAAGUUUGUAGAUGUUAUAGUUUCGGAGAUUUUGUGAUCAGUGAGUCAACCUACCAUCCCCGUUUUAACCCCAAAAAAGGGGUUGAUUUCUAAAGAUACAUUAUUUGGACGCCUUCUCAUCAUCUAUAGAGCAUACAUUUUAAAUUUCAAGUCUUUUACUUCUAAAACAUAGGACUUUCAUACAAACUUCCAACCCCCCGUUUUACCCCCUUAGGGGUCGAGUUUCGUAAAAUCCGUUCUUAACGGAUGUCUACGCCCUAUAAAGAGCCUUUCUGCCAAAUUUCAAGUUUGUAGGUGUUAUAGUUUCAGAGAUUUCGUGAUCAGUGAGUCAACCUACCAUCCCCCGUUUUAACCCCAAAAAGGGGUUGAUUUCUAAAGAUACAUUAUUUGGACGCCUUUUCAUCAUCUAUAGAGCAUAAAUUUUAAAUUUCAGGUCUCUUACUUCAAAAACAUAGGACUUUCAUACAAACUUCCAACCCCCGUUUUACCCCCUUAGGGGUCGAGUUUCGUAAAAUCCGUUCUUAGCGGAUGUCUACGUCCUAUAAGGAGCCUACCUGCCAAAUUCCAAGUUUGUAGGUGUUAUAGUUUCGGAGAUUUCGUGAUGAG